rnacentral:rRNA from 1 species
UACAGAGGGGGCAAGCGUUGUUCGGAAUUACUGGGUGUAAAGGGUUCGUAGGCGGUGCGGCAAGUCGGGAGUGAAAUCUCUGGGCUUAACCCAGAGGCUGCUUCCGAAACUGCUGUGCUUGAGUGUGGGAGAGGCGCGUGGAAUUGCAGGUGUAGCGGUGAAAUGCGUAGAUAUCUGCAGGAACACCCGUGGCGAAAGCGGCGCGCUGGACCACUACUGACGCUGAGGAACGAAAGCUAGGGGAGCAAACAGG